rnacentral:rRNA from 1 species
AUGGCUGCCAGCUCGUUCUCGGCGCCGGCGCAGGCGGUGAAGGGCGUGGCGAAAAUGUUGGCUCACCGCCGCCAGGCCGUGGUUGGGUUCCUGUUUGCUCUCAUCGUCAUCCUCGUGCUCCACACCACCGUGGUGUUUGGCCCGUCCCGGUCCACGAAUGACAUUGUCGUUCUGCAGUCAACAUCGGGCGAGCAAAAUGCCAGGACCUCUUCUCCUCCAGCGUUUUUUUUGACGAAAACAGAUGUUCAAAUACAUGACAUAGAUAACGGGCAGAAGGACGACGCAGCCAAGAACGAUGAGGAAAGAAGGGACUAG